ACUUGUUCAAGCAUUGUUUUCGA
rnacentral:snRNA from 1 species